UACGUAGGGUGCAAGCGUUGUCCGGAAUUAUUGGGCGUAAAGAGCUCGUAGGCGGUUUGUCGCGUCUGCUGUGAAAACCCGAGGCUCAACCUCGGGCCUGCAGUGGGUACGGGCAGACUAGAGUGCGGUAGGGGAGAAUGGAAUUCCUGGUGUAGCGGUGGAAUGCGCAGAUAUCAGGAGGAACACCGGUGGCGAAGGCGGAUCUCUGGGCCUUACCUGACGCUCAGGCACGAAAGCUAGGGGAGCGAACAGG
rnacentral:rRNA from 1 species